UACGUAGGGGGCAAGCGUUGUCCGGAUUUAUUGGGCGUAAAGAGCGUGUAGGCGGCCAGAUAGGUCCGUUGUGAAAACUCGAGGCUCAACCUCGAGACGCCGAUGGAAACCAUCUGGCUAGAGUCCGGAAGAGGAGAGUGGAAUUCCUGGUGUAGCGGUGAAAUGCGCAGAUAUCGGGAAGAACACCCGUGGCGAAGGCGGCUCUCUGGGACGGUACUGACGCUGAGACGCGAAAGCGUGGGAGCGAACAGG
rnacentral:rRNA from 1 species